AUUGAACGCUGGCGGCAUGAUUUACACAUGCAAGUCGAACGGUAUCAGGCCGCAAGGUGCUGACGAGUGGCGAACGGGUGAGUAAUGCAUCGGAACGUGCCCAGUCGUGGGGGAUAACUACUCGAAAGAGUAGCUAAUACCGCAUACGAUCUAUGGAUGAAAGCGGGGGACCGUAAGGCCUCGCGCGAUUGGAGCGGCCGAUGUCAGAUUAGGUAGUUGGUGGGGUAAAGGCUCACCAAGCCAACGAUCUGUAGCUGGUCUGAGAGGACGACCAGCCACACUGGGACUGAGACACGGCCCAGACUCCUACGGGAGGCAGCAGUGGGGAAUUUUGGACAAUGGGCGCAAGCCUGAUCCAGCAAUGCCGCGUGCAGGAAGAAGGCCUUCGGGUUGUAAACUGCUUUUGUACGGAACGAAACGGCUCUGGUUAAUACCCGGGGCUAAUGACGGUACCGUAAGAAUAAGCACCGGCUAACUACGUG
rnacentral:rRNA from 1 species